rnacentral:rRNA from 2 species
GCAUAUCAAUAAGCGGAGGAAAAGAAACCAACAGGGAUUGCCCUAGUAACGGCGAGUGAAGCGGCAACAGCUCAAAUUUGAAAUCUGGCUCUUUCAGAGUCCGAGUUGUAAUUUGCAGAGGGCGCUUUGGCUUUGGCAGCGGUCCAAGUUCCUUGGAACAGGACGUCACAGAGGGUGAGAAUCCCGUACGUGGUCGCUAGCUAUUGCCGUGUAAAGCCCCUUCGACGAGUCGAGUUGUUUGGGAAUGCAGCUCUAAAUGGGAGGUAAAUUUCUUCUAAAGCUAAAUAUUGGCCAGAGACCGAUAGCGCACAAGUAGAGUGAUCGAAAGAUGAAAAGCACUUUGGAAAGAGAGUCAAACAGCACGUGAAAUUGUUGAAAGGGAAGCGCUUGCAGCCAGACUUGCUUGCAGUUGCUCAUCCGGGCUUUUGCCCGGUGCACUCUUCUGCAGGCAGGCCAGCAUCAGUUUGGGCGGUGGGAUAAAGGUCUCUGUCAUGUACCUCUCUUCGGGGAGGCCUUAUAGGGGAGGCGACAUACCACCAGCCUAGACUGAGGUCCGCGCAUCUGCUAGGAUGCUGGCGUAAUGGCUGUAAGCGGCCCGUCUUGAAACACGGACCAAGGAGUCUAACAUCUAUGCGAGUGUUUGGGUGUCAAGCCCGAGCGCGUAAUGAAAGUGAACGGAGGUGGGAACCCGCAAGGGUGCACCAUCGACCGAUCCUGAAGUUUACGGAAGGAUUUGAGUAAGAGCAUGGCUGUUGGGACCCGAAAGAUGGUGAACUAUGCUUGAAUAGGGUGAAGCCAGAGGAAACUCUGGUGGAGGCUCGCAGCGGUUCUGACGUGCAAAUCGAUCGUCAAAUUUGGGCAUAGGGGCGAAAGACUAAUCGAACUAUCUAGUAGCUGGUUCCUGCCGA